UACGGAGGGGGCUAGCGUUGUUCGGAAUUACUGGGCGUAAAGCGCACGUAGGCGGCUUUGUAAGUUAGAGGUGAAAGCCCAGGGCUUAACCCUGGAAUUGCCUUUAAAACUGCAUCGCUAGAAUUGUGGAGAGGUAAGUGGAAUUCCGAGUGUAGAGGUGAAAUUCGUAGAUAUUCGGAAGGACACCAGUGGCGAAGGCGACUUACUGGACACAUAUUGACGCUGAGGUGCGAAAGCGUGGGGAGCAAACAGG
rnacentral:rRNA from 1 species